rnacentral:rRNA from 1 species
AUUGAACGCUGGCGGCAUGCCUUACACAUGCAAGUCGAACGGUAACAGGUCUUCGGAUGCUGACGAGUGGCGAACGGGUGAGUAAUACAUCGGAACGUGCCCGAGAGUGGGGGAUAACGAAGCGAAAGCUUUGCUAAUACCGCAUACGAUCUCAGGAUGAAAGCAGGGGACCGCAAGGCCUUGCGCUCACGGAGCGGCCGAUGGCAGAUUAGGUAGUUGGUGGGAUAAAAGCUUACCAAGCCGACGAUCUGUAGCUGGUCUGAGAGGACGACCAGCCAAAAUGGGACGUAGACACGGCCCAGACUCCUACGGGGGGCAGCAGUGGGGAAUUUUGGACAAUGGGCGCAAGCCUGAUCCAGCCAUGCCGCGUGCAGGAUGAAGGCCUUCGGGUUGUAAACUGCUUUCGUACGGAACGAAAAGACUCUGGUUAAUACCUGGGGUCCAUGACGGUACCGUAAGGAUAAGCACCGGCUAACUACGUGCCAGCCGCCGCAGUAA